ACGUAAUAAUCUUGCGACAUGUUUGUAUAUAAGGCUUGCCGAGCUGCUCACCAGUCUCUUUGGCUUCCUUUAACCUUUGGAUGAAGAUCGGGGAAAGUUGAAGUUUUCACUUUUCCAGGAGCCAUUAUCAGUCAAAAAUGAAUUUCGUGAAAAAGCCUGGCGGGCCAUGCUCGUGGCUUACAGACUCCUUCAAACGUGGCAGCUCAAAUGGAUAAAAGGCCAAGACUGCGCUCUGAAGACAAAUGUUGUAAAAUGUGUUCAUCGCCUGCCCUGGUCCCAGUGAUGGAAUUCUGUGCAGGUGUGGAGUGGGAGUUCGUAUAAGGUCUGAGAUGUGAAAUCCCCCCUGGGUUGAAUGAGGCUUAUUUGCACCAACAACAUACUGGUGGUGAAUUACCUUAAGCGUAAGCCGUGUGACUACGCGUUUCAUUCUGGGAUGUGGCCGUCAUGUCGAUCGCCUCGAGCGUAAACGGUUCAUUGCAGAGAAGCAGAUUUUGGGGAGAAGUAAACAUGAAAAUGACGUGUAAUAUACAGAUAUGAUAAAUACAGUAGUUGGACUGAUAUAUGGUCAAAAAUCCACAUUAAACAGUUUUAGAUUCCUAUGAAAGAUCCAAGACAAGCACUGAUAUCAAAAAUUGUCAUCUCAUAGAAGUGCAGAAAAAAUUGUUUAGUACAUCAGCAUGUGUGUUGUGAUGAAAGGAAAGUAAUGUCUUAACCCUGUGAUGCAUGAAUUAUGAAAUUGUCAACUUUUUUUCAUCUUUAGGUGUGAAUGAAACAAAUGUCAACAUAUUUUUUGUAACAUUUUGGUAAUUUACAAAUUACAUGUCCACCUCAGCGGACGGUGUGUAUUCUGAACAUGGAAUAUGUUGGCUUGACUUGAGUCCAAAUGAAGGUGCUAGAAUGUAAUAAAGUGUUCAACAGCUGUGCUUAAGAGCAAAAAUCAAUAAAAAUUAAUACCUGUCCACUUUAGUGACCAUUAUGCAUUCAAGGGUUAAAUGCCAUCUGUAAUUUACCAGAAUGGGGGGAAAAUAAAGAUUACACCCACAGACGAGUACUACAAAAGGUGGAGUUUUGUUGCCAGAUUUCUGAAUACUUGGUGUUAGUGGUUAUGACCCGAAGCAAGGGAACGAGUAGGCUUUUAUUUAUAAUGUGCUGGCUAUGUCUGAUGUCAACACCUGUUCUGAUGACUCCUGAAGUCUGACUUGGCUGGGAUUUGGAUGUCACAACCAGUUCCAUCUGUAAGGAUCAAUAUGUAAUGAUCUGGAUCUUAAGGGCUUCCUUGAGGUGAUUAAAUUAAAAAAAAUAAAGAAUUUAAAAUAA